UGUGCCUGGUGUCCACCUGCCACCCAGGGGCCUUCGUGCUGCCAGCUGCUGGAACAGGGAUGGAGCCAUCCGCAACUUCCUCAGGCCUCGGGUCUUUGUGCUUCUUCCACAGAUUCCCGGUCUUCCCUUCGCCCCGACAGGCGACAGGCGGGCAGUCGGGGAGGGCAAGGUCACCCCCGUGCAGAUGCCAAGCCCACCGCGAGCCCCAGACAGCAUGCCCGCGUACCUCAACCCUUUGCCGAUUAUUUUCAGGGAGAGUUGAAGAGCAGGGAACGGGACGGAAAGCCAUCGGGGACCUCUCCCGGGGACUGGGGCCACCCUGAUCCCCGCCUUCAGCCGGGAAGAUCCGGCCUGUGGACUGGACGCGCUCUGAAACUGUUCUUCCCCAUCCCCUGGGCCGCAAUCGCUUCUUCUAUAAAAUGGGACUGAAAUCACCUCCACCCCGUCUGCCUCUCUUGGGCGCACUGAUGUGAAAGCUGCCGCAAACAGCAGAGAGCAGGUUGAAACGGAAACAAGAGAGUCUCAGAUGGAACUUGGCUCCCCCCACCCCCCCGCCCCUCCCUGGCUUUGGAAUUUGUGCCAAUCUGUCAUCCGUGUUGAGUGA